rnacentral:rRNA from 1 species
GGGAUAACGUAGGGAAACUUACGCUAAUACCGCAUACGACCUACGGGUGAAAGCAGGGGAUCUUCGGACCUUGCGCGAUUGAAUGAGCCGAUGUCGGAUUAGCUAGUUGGCGGGGUAAAGGCCCACCAAGGCGACGAUCCGUAGCUGGUCUGAGAGGAUGAUCAGCCACACUGGAACUGAGACACGGUCCAGACUCCUACGGGAGGCAGCAGUGGGGAAUAUUGGACAAUGGGCGCAAGCCUGAUCCAGCCAUACCGCGUGGGUGAAGAAGGCCUUCGGGUUGUAAAGCCCUUUUGUUGGGAAAGAAAUCCAGCCGGCUAAUACCCGGUUGGGAUGACGGUACCCAAAGAAUAAGCACCGGCUAACUUCGUGCCAGCAGCCGCGGUAAUACGAAGGGUGCAAGCGUUACUCGGAAUUACUGGGCGUAAAGCGUGCGUAGGUGGUCGUUUAAGUCCGUUGUGAAAGCCCUGGGCUCAACCUGGGAACUGCAGUGGAUACUGGGCGACUAGAGUGUGGUAGAGGGUAGCGGAAUUCCUGGUGUAGCAGUGAAAUGCGUAGAGAUCAGGAGGAACAUCCAUGGCGAAGGCAGCUACCUGGACCAAC